GAAGACUCCUUACUUCAUCAGGGCGACCACCAGAGGGGGCUGCGCAAGCGCAGAAGAGGCUGAUUGCAGAAGAGGCUGAUGUCGUAAUAGACUGAUGUGGCAAUCCUUGAUGCACAUGUAUUAGUAAAUGAUGUAAUCUGUGUUGAAUAUGUAUUAGUGACGACAUUUUUAGUGUAUAAAUUGCGAGCGCAAUGUAACGGGGUUGAAGCCAGAUUUGGGCGCGUGCCCCUGGUUUCCUAGCGCUGUAAUAAAGCACCUCAUAUAACCAU